CGUGAUUGGUCAGAACAGACAACAUGAGCCUGAACGCAUGACAACGAAACUACUCUUUGGUUUUAUCAAGUAGUUUUCAGUGUAUAUUUUAUGAGAAGCUUCUCAACAUAUUUGGAUAUUAAAAGUAUGAAGUAAUAUUGAAUUACUAUUGUCCUACGAGCAGAAAAUCGGAUUUUUGUUGCCGUUGCAACACUAAAUAGCUCGAGAAGAGCUCACUAUGUUAGCUUGUUUGCUAGCCUCACCGUGAACGCUCAUUGGAGUUUUAAUUUUCCUUUAGUUUAUAAAUCUAUUUAUUCCUCAAAUAUAUUUUCUGUUUAAAAUGGUUUACAUGAAAUAAAAAGAUGGAAACUUUGGCUCUCGUAGCUCCAAUCACAAGCCUGGAGUUCUUUCAAGACAAGUUUCUUUUAACAGGUGAGGGUCCAGUCCUGUCAGCAUACAGUCUUCACCAAAGUCUGAAAGCCUUCACCUCACUGAAUGUCCUCCAGCACCAGCGGAUCCAUGGGAUACGCCCCAGAAAUCAGUCUUUGCUUUCAGCUCACAGCUCUGCUUCGGAACAAGGACUAGCCUCCACACCAGAGCCCUCAUUCCAUGACUUUGCAGUAUUUGGAGGCAAAGCUUUGAGGGUGGUACGGCUUCACGUGGACAUUCAGAAUGUGGAGAAUAUGCACUUUGAGAUCCUGGGUCCCCAUUUAGAGUUACAGGACUGGGUUCUGGAUGCCCGCUGGCUUUCUGGGAACAAUCCAUCGCUGCUCUGUGUGGCUGUAGCUCACAACGGUGCUCUCCUAGUGGACGUCGCUGCAGGACAUGCACUGGUUCAGCGCUUCUGUCUGGAAGGUUGUUUGUUGUAUUCUGCCCUUCUUUUGGUCCACGAGUCCUGGGCUGACUCCGUUUUAGUUGGAGGAACUGUUUUCAACCAGCUGAUCAUCUGGAAAACAGAGAAAAAGGAUGAACAUUGGGAUUCAGGAGACAAAGCUCCGGUUGAGCGGCGUCUGUUGGGCCACACUGGUGUCAUCUUCAGUGUCGCUUACCUUCAGGAGGAGGGGUUUCUAGCUUCUGCCUCAGAUGACCGCAGCGUUCGCCUGUGGGGGGUCGGGGCUCUAGGUGGCCCUGGAGGGAAGUGUGGAGACGUGAACCCAACCUGUUUAAGAGUCCUGUAUGGUCACCAGGCCCGGGUGUUUUUGGUGCGCCUCUCACCAGGGAGAGUGUUCAGUGCCGGGGAGGACGGGGCCUGUUUGGUGUGGGACUGGAAAGAAGGCGGUAAGGUGAUGCGCACACUGAAGGGACACCGGGCAGGGGGUGUUCGGGCAUUGGCAGUCAGUCAGGAGAUGAUGGAUAACAGGAGAUGGGUAGCUACAGGAGGGGCAGAUGGAGGGGUGAGGUUGUGGAAAGUGGAGAGCGGUCAGGAGGAGAGCGCGGAAGCAACAACAGAGCUGACGGACCUAAAGUUCCCGCAGCUUGGACUUCCCAAGAUAGUUUGCAGGGUAGGUGGGGGUGAGAAUCCCAGCUGGAGCCAGUUUGUGGUUUGCACUGAUAGAGGAUCAGUUUGUCUUUAUAUUGAUGGAACAUGGGAAACUAUAUGGCAAGGAACCGCUGAGUUUCAAUCCUACUGUGUGAUGGAAACUGUUACCGUCUGCAUGACUCAAGACUCAACUGCUGCGGUUAGUUUAUGCGCUGUGGGAAACAUCAGCGGGUCUUUGGAGGUCUUUCCUACUUCUCAUCCUCGGUCUGGUGUUCGUCUUCACGGCGGAUCAGGGAAGAUCCAAAGUCUUCAUUUUCAGAAGGAAAAGGACCGGGUGUACUUGCUUGCCUCAGGCGCAGACGGACUGGUUUACCGGUGGUGUGUAGAGAUAAAAACAAGCGAAAGCUGCUCCGUCGUUCUAAGCGCAUGGCGUCUUCCACCAUUCCUCCUUCCUCAAUGUGCCAAACGCUGGCUCACAGCUGCUGUUCGCUUCCACGCCACUUUGGAGAAGGUUCUCUGGGUGUGCGGAGACAGAAGAGGAUCUUUACUUUUGUAUCAAGAAACUACGCGAUUCAAUGGAGGUUUCCCGACUGAACGGGAAUCAAGCGUUGGUGGGCAGAGCAGAGAGGAGGAGGAAAGCAAAGAGAUGCUCGAUCCACCUCUGCAGCCAGUCAGCAGUCGGUUUGGGGUGCAUGGAAAGCACGGUGUCACUUCAGUUUGUGAGUACCAAGGAUUGUUCUACAGCACCGGCAAAGAUGGCUGUGUGAGGAUUUUCCGAGUGCAUCAAGCAUCUGAGGAAAAACCUGAAGAGAGUCGAGAAAAAGCUGCAGAAAAGGAAGAAAGGCUCGUGCUGGACGUGCUCCGAGUCCAGCGGGCCUGCAAGGGUAUGGAGUGGCUGGAGAGAGUUUUAAUUCUUGAAUCUGCAGAUUGUUUAGAGGAGGAAGAACAGAAUGAAGAGGAGAAUCCAAAGGAGGCGAGUUUGACAGAAGAUAAGUCUGUUUUUGAAGAGGUGUUGCAUGAAAAACAAAAUGUAGGGAAAGAAGCCAGAUUUGUUAUCGCAGGCUUCCACGCUGCUCACUUUGUGGUUUGGGAUCCUUUGCGGCGGGAGAGGCUGUUCACGGUGCCUUGCGGUGGGGGCCAUCGCUCUUGGGCGCUGUGGCUGUCACACACGGGUAUGUGGCCCGGAUAUGGAGCUCUGGUCUUCAUCAAACAGGGGGCAGUCCUCACCUCACAGCCCCCUGGAAAGCUGCUGGGGGCAAAAGCGGGGCGGACAGGACCGAGGGAUUUAAGGGAAGGGGUCCAUGGGAAAGGAAUUUGGUGUGUGUGCAGGGUGGGGAGGAUAGUGGGGGUUGGACAUGUCACGCAAACAAAGUGUGCAACAAAUAACACCGGAAAUGAGGGAGGAGACCAUGAAAGAAAAGAAAGCUUUUGGGAAAUCAUUGUGACGGGAGGAGAGGACACUAGCUUAGCUGUCCUGGCGUUGCAUCCUCCGUCCGGCGCCGUCAGAGUCCUCUCGGUCAUCACAGACCACAUCUCUGGCGUCCGCGCAGUGACAGCAGUCAGACGUCCGCACUGCGAGAGCGAAAGCCAGCCCCUCUCCACGCUGCUGGUGUCGGCCGGCGGUCGCGCUCAAAUACAGAGUUACCGGCUGUCGAUUGGCUGGAACAGGCAGACGCUGACUCCUUCCUGCCAGGUGAUCCAGGUGGGAGGACACAGGCUGGAUGAACAGUGGGAAAGAAGGAGAAAUCGGUGGAAGACGGUGAAAAUGGACCCAGAAACAAGGUACGUUUCCAUAGCAGUGGUGGAGGAAAGCUGCGACCGCGUCCUCCUGGCUCUGGCCUGCAGCGACGGAGCCGUCAGAUUGUUUUCAGUAACUGAGUCAAAGAAUCAUAUUGAGCUGCUGUGGGAGACGUGUCAUCACCAGCGCUGUGUGCUCAGUGUCGCCACCUGCAGCCUGGAAGCUGUCAAAAAUGACAGGUACAAACUGCUGUUCAGUGCCGCCACAGAUGGGAAAAUUGCUGUUUGGCAUUUAACUGGAGUUCUAUCAACUGAUAUUUCAAGUGGUGCUACAAAUCCACCAGCUCCCUGCCUCGAUAUUCCCGCCCACCAGAGUGGCGUCAACUCAUUGGUUGUUUGGGUGGAGAAACUGGGAAAAGAAGGAGGCAGUUGCCAGGUAACUGUUGCUAGUGGAGGGGAUGAUGGACAGCUGACAGUGUCCACAAUUAGGGUGCAGUUCCCAGGAAAUGGGAAGGCUGGGGGCAGCAGAGUGUUUUCUGAGAUUUCUCAUUGCCAAAGCUCAGUAGAAGAACUCCAAAUAGACCACAACCAGCUUCAGCUUCAUCUCCUGACUCAACGCCGGAUCCCACUGGCUCACGCCGCUCCUCUGACCUCCCUGAAGCUUUUGAGGACAGGCCUGCUGGUUUCCACUUCCUCAGAUCAGAGGGUUUGCCUUUGGAAGGUCAGCGAUGUCGGUAUCAGCCACAGUGGGGCGCUGUGCUCCCACGUUGCAGAUGCUGCAGCCAUGGCAGUGUGGGAGGGGGAGAAAGAAGAUGCAAUUAGUGCGACGGGAUCCGAGUCUGAGCUUGUAAAUGCACUUAGUAGAAAAGAAGAGGGCCAGAUGCAGCCGGAGACAAAGACGGAGAGAACUGAGGGUGGGUGGAUUAGCGACGGUGAGGAAGCAGCUGGCGAACAGGAACUUGGACAACCUGCUGUAGCAGUGAAGGAGACAAUCAACCCAGUUUGCAAGAAUGCUGUUGACAAGGAAGAGCCCUCGACACAUCACUCAAGAUUAAAAACUCUGACUGACAGCUCAGGUGAAACGGUUAAUGGAACAAACACUAAACGGUGCUUGAAGGUUUCCCCUGAGAGCCAAACAGGGAUCAUCAAAGAGGGAUGGGUGCUGGUCUGCGGGCAAGGACUUCAGCUCCUGCAGCCCUCAGACUGAAGGAUGCCUGGUGAGCGGCUGCCCUUCAUCACUUCAUCUCAAAGCAAAAAAAAAGCAAAGACGGCCUUUUCAUCUCAGACCCCCCAGCGCCCCCAUCCAGCCAACCGCAGAAGACUAAACCGGCAGCAGUUGCCCUCCUCCUCUUCUUCUCACCCUCACCCAGCUCCAUCUUCCAUCCUCGUCUCGGACGCCACGAUGACGCCGUGGGGAGGCCUGGCUCUUUCUGAGUCCUCUUUUACUUUGAUUCCACCAGUCCUUCCUCCAAAACCUCCUCCACCACAUCCACCCUCUCUUGCUCCCCAGCCAACGUCACCAACUGCUCAUCGUAGGAAACCAGAGCAGGAUGAAGAAAGCUCAAGCUUUUACUCUGAAACUCCAUCCCCACCGCUGGAGCUUCCUCUGAGCAGCUCAGGACAGGCGGACCACAGAGGGCUUCAGACGAGGAGGCGGGUCCUGCCGCAGCGUUGGGCUCCCCGCCCGACCCGUCUCCCUCCACUGCGUCCCAUCACCAACCUUAGCUUUUCUAGAAGCUUCACCUUCUCCUUCUUUGAGCUGCCACUGCACCAGUCCCCUCGCUACCGAGCCGAACACGUCAAAAACCUCUUUCUGCUUCUGAAGAAGAUGCACUACUAAAACAUUUAUGGUUCAAGAAACACGUAAUGUUUAAAAACCUUUUUGUCUUUUUUUGCUGGUAAAGUAAUAGUGGUGCACAAAGUGAAGAAGGUGUCCUUUGGCAUGACAGAGUGAGAGUGUCUAUGAGUUUUUUUCCAAUAUUGUAACUUCUCCUAAAACGUAUAAUUAUGUGUUUUCACUACAAACACUGGCAGCCUAAAGAAAGGAGUAAUAGUACAGUUUUAUUACGGUAUAUUUACAAAAAACUAGUGUAAUGAUAUGACUAAUUUUAGAACAAAAUGUGAACAAAAUCAGAAGAUAACCUUAGUACUAGAUUGGCCAUCUUAAUAAAUUUCCAUGUCAUGGUCUUAUAAACAACUGUGUUCAAUGUUAAAAACUGUCCGGUCCAACACAUAAAUUUUCAAAUAUGAUUAAAAUGAAUAAAGAUUGGCCUAGAUUACAAAAGGGGUUUAUUCAGACAUACCUCUGGUUUGUCAG